UAGGGAAUCUUCGGCAAUGGACGAAAGUCUGACCGAGCAACGCCGCGUGAGUGAAGAAGGUUUUCGGAUCGUAAAACUCUGUUGUUAGAGAAGAACAAGGACGUUAGUAACUGACCGUCACCUGACGGUAUCUAACCAGAAAGCCACGGCUAACUACGUGCCAGCAGCCGCGGUAAUACGUAGGUGGCAAGCGUUGUCCGGAUUUAUUGGGCGUAAAGCGAUCGCAGGCGGUUUCUUAAGUCUGAAGUGAAAGCCCCCGGCUCAACCGGGGAGGGUCAUUGGAAACCGGGUGACUUGAGCGCAGAAGAGGAGAGUGGAAUUCCAGGUGUAGCCGUGAAAUGCGUAGAUAUAUGGAGGAACACCAGUGGCGAAGGCGGCGCGCUGGUAUGUAACUGACGCUGAGGCUCGAAAGCGUGGGGAGCAAACAGG
rnacentral:rRNA from 1 species